ACGUAACCGAGCCAUGCUACUGCUACGCCAGCGAACUUGGGCAGCGUGCAGUUAGUCAGUAGUGUGCCGUUUUGUAGCAGAGAGCGCGCGUACCUCGCCUCGGUCAGGGAGUAUCCCGAGAGCGAUGUGAUCUGCGUGACGAAUUAACAAAAAAAGCAGGGCGGAAGCGUUCGGUGGCAGCGAACGCUUCCGCCGGUUUGGUUCUUUGUUCCGUCAUUAGCGUGGUUACUGAGUUUAGAAAUAUCUUUUCAUUUUAAAAGUCGUGCAAACUCCAGCAACACUGAUCGGGUCCGGCUUAAUUCUAGUCAGCGAAGGUGACGUAAGGUGCAAAACAGCAGGAAGAAUACCGCAACCAACGACCGAAUGCAACGACAACGAGCGACACAAGCUUGCCAGCUAACCGAUCCACCUUUGGCUGCCAGAUCUGCUGCGAAUCGCAUUCCUUCGCUCUUGAGCUCCAAACUGAAGUGAACUGCUGAGGAGUGGAGCAGCAAAUGGAUGAAGCCGAGCAAAGUCCCAAGCCAACGCUACAGCGCCCUAUGCACGGCGAAAGGUUUCCGAAAGCGCUCAGGAAUCGGGUCCGCAAUGAAGGAGGUAGCCCGGCUGCCACGGCGAGAUGAAGCUGUCAGUAUUAAUCAGCGAAGCGACCUUCGCUAACCGUAAAAUAUCUGCUCGCGAUGGAGCAGGGAGCGCUAAAUAGGGCAAGUGUAAGGAACUGGUAUCUCUAUCUCCCACUUUCGGUCGCAUCUUUUAGCAUUAGCGUUAGGUCGGGGCUACACACGUACACUUUAGUGUGGUGCCACGGCACUGUACUUGCUUUCGGAAGCGCGUUUCGGAAGGCUAGGGCCACUUGUAAAUUAGCCAACUGUUUCACAACACAACGAACUUACCGUGCGGCCGCACCAGCAUGUGGAUGGAGCCCGCCCGGUUCCAGCUGCUGAAGGGAAGGUGUCGCUUUUAGGGCUACUAGUAGUAGUAAGUGUGCGCUUUUUCUAAACCGUUUUUCCCCCUUUCUCAAUGUGCAUGACGGACGAAAUGAUGUAACGAAAUGGUGUAACAAGAAAAUAAACGACUUCUAUAUGUGCUUUGGAUGGUAAAAUGAG